AUUGAACGCUGGCGGCAUGCCUUACACAUGCAAGUCGAACGGUAACGGGCCUUCGGGUGCCGACGAGUGGCGAACGGGUGAGUAAUACAUCGGAACGUGCCCGAUCGUGGGGGAUAACGAGGCGAAAGCUUUGCUAAUACCGCAUACGAUCUACGGAUGAAAGCAGGGGACCGCAAGGCCUUGCGCGGACGGAGCGGCCGAUGGCAGAUUAGGUAGUUGGUGGGAUAAAAGCUUACCAAGCCGACGAUCUGUAGCUGGUCUGAGAGGAUGAUCAGCCACACUGGGACUGAGACACGGCCCAGACGCCUACGGGAGGCAGCAGUGGGGAAUUUUGGACAAUGGGCGCAAGCCUGAUCCAGCCAUGCCGCGUGCAGGAUGAAGGCCUUCGGGUUGUAAACUGCUUUUGUACGGAACGAAAAGCCUUCUUUUAAUACAGGAGGGUCAGGAAGGUACCGUAAGAAUAAGCACCGGCUAACUACGG
rnacentral:rRNA from 1 species